rnacentral:tRNA from 1 species
AAUUAUUGUUAUCAAAUNAGAAGAGUGUCUCGAAGCUCAGCUGGUUAGANNACUANACUGAUAAUGUAGGGGUCGACAGUUCGANUCUGUCCGAGACAACAACUUAUUUAAGAUUUUAGAAUUAAGAUUUUAGAUUAAAAAAAGGAUAAAUACGUUCAUUAAAGUAAAGGAAAUAUUAGAAGUUGAGGAUUCAACCAAAAGAAAUUAGAACUACAAUUCAAAAUCUAAAAUCUGAAUUCAAAAAAUCUAAAAUCUAUUAGGGGGAUUAGCUCAGCUGGCUAGAGCGCCUGCCUUGCACGCAGGAGGUCAACGGUUCGACUCCGUUAUUCUCCACGAGAUAGUAUCAAGAUGAUAGUAUAAGUAUUAAGACAAAAUCUUAAUACUUAAUACAAAACACUUAAUACUUUAUUAAAGUUCAUUGACAUAUUGAGAUAAGAAAAUAUUUAAAAAGUAGAAAGAACACUUUUUAGUGAUUAGACAAAAGGCAUUAGGCAUAAGUUGAAAAAUUAAUGGUUAAUUACUAAUGGCUAAUGGCUAGAAAAAGUACAAUAAGCAAAAUAAGGGCGUAUGGGGGAUGCCUAGAAUUACUAGU